CCCGGAGAUGGGAACUGAGANNAGGUCCCAGGCCCUACGGNGCGCAGCAGUUACGAAAACUUGUCAAUGCACGAAAGUGUGAACGGGCUACCCCGAGUGCCGUCCGCUGAGGAUGGCUUUUCUCUGCUGUAAGAAGGCGGAGGAAUAAGGCGAGGGCAAGUCUGGUGUCAGCCGCCGCGGUAAUACCAGCUCGCCGAGUGGUAGGGAUGAUUAUUGGGCCUAAAGCGUCCGUAGCCGGCCUUUCAAGUCUCUUGUUAAAUCCAACGAUUCAAUCGCUGGACUGCAGGAGAUACUGUCAGGCUAGGGGGCGGGAGAAGCCGACGGUAUUUUCGGGGUAGGGGUAAAAUCCUAUAAUCCCGGGAAGACCACCAGUGGCGUAGGCGGUCGGCUAGCACGCGCUCGACGGUGAGGGACGAAAGCUGGGGGAGCGAACCGGAUUAGAUACCCGGAUAGUCCCAGCUGUAAACGAUGCUGGCUAGGUGUUGGGGUGGCCACGAGCCACUUCAGUGCCGCAGGGAAGCCAUUAAGCCAGCCGCCUGGGGAGUACGGCCGCAAGGCUGAAACUUAAAGGAAUUGGCGGGGGA
rnacentral:rRNA from 1 species